GAUUGGCUGAAUAAAGAUGCUGAAGCCUAUGACUGGGUAGAAGAGAGGGAGGCGGAGUUUUAGGUGCCUGGCUGCUUGGGGUCGAGAGGGGGUGGGGAAGGAGAGGAGAUAGCAGAAGAGGAAGCAGGAAGCUGGAGAGGAAGGAAUCUCCUUGAGGCAAGAUGGACCAGGAGCACAUGGCUGCAAGGAGAGACUGAUGGGGCAGAAGGAGCCCGGGAAGCAUCAGAUUGGCAAGCCUUUGGCUUUUAUUGUGGGUUUUAGAGGUUCUGGGAUUAGAAUAGUCAGAAUGUACCCAGCGUAGUGCUUACAGCUUAAUAAUAAAUCCUCAUCUCCCUGUGUCAGUCACUGGGGAACUAGCUGGUUAAGGAAAACUGCUGCCGUAAUAAUGUCCUGCAUUCAUUAAUUUAGAAAGGAUAACUCAUCUUUCUACAAAUGGUGCCCAAUGAAUUUCAUGUUAUCUAACACCCUGAAUAUUCAUAUUUAAACAUUUAAAAAAAAAAGUUCUGGAUGCCGGGGGGGGGAUUCAACUACAGCUGCCCCCCCCCAGAGCCAAGAGCUCUGAGAAGCUUGCAAAGCAGACGGGGCCCAGCCCCAGCUCAGGUGGGAAGCCGGCCGGGGGAGCAGGGCCAGGGGCUAACGCGGGCAGUUCACUCUGCGGAAAUUUUCAAAGGAGUCAAGCACCAACUGCUAGGGACACUCCUGCUAGGCGGUUACUUAGCAACUGACAUUCAGAGCCCGACUGCCUAGGGGCUUGCAAGCAAACCUGCAAAGAGGAACGAGGCUCCAAGAAAACGAGGGCCAAAAGCUUACCCCAAGGUAAAACGCCAGACCCAAACUGAAGGGGCACGUGAUGACCUCAGAAGCCAAUGCUUUAUAACUUCCCAGAGAUGGGGAAGGGUCAGAAUCUGGCAAAGUUAGUCCAAGCUACAGGUGGAAGGCGGAAACAAGCCUUUUAUCCGUGAGCCGAAAGACAGGGGAGUGGCCGAAUAGGACUACAGGAAACCAGACACGGACGGAAACAGAGUCUCUGAUCAGGUAAGAAGAAAGGGGUUGACAGUAAAGAGGGAGAAGUAUGGAAAAUAUAUAGAAAUGAUAGGACAAAAGCACCCAGCCUACCUCAAAGAAGAUGAUAAGCACUGAAGAACCUCCACAUGGAGAAGGCUUCAAAUGUGGGAAGACAGCCAGCAGGGCAAAGAAAUUGCCCUCACUUUUCCACAGACAGAAUUCUGCCUAAAAUGGGCGAGCUUGGAUGCAGACCAGCUUGACUGUCAAACUCUGCCAAGACAGGGUAAAUAAGCCCUUAAUAGCUCUGCUUCACAAUCUAUCUGUCAGAUUCACAGGUCAGAAGGCUGAAGAUGACGCUCCAGUGGUAGAGUUUUUGGUUGGCUGUCCGGGCAGCAAACUGUCUCUCGUCAUUUUUAAAUUUUGGAAGCUGCUAGCCUGCACUUCCUGUUUACUCACGUAAUUAAUUUUAUUCCUUCUCAAGUCUCUGAUGGGGUUGAAGACUAAAUAGCUAAAGAGUUUUUACAAUUAAGCUUAGCUGCUUAGGAGUUAAAAAUAUAUUUUAUGUCUAGAUAGAUGUUUUUGGAGAAUAAUUUAGGUACAAAACUUUAGGCUCACCAAGAUAGGAGAGACAGUAUUUUCUUCAAGGUUGACAAAUAACUUUUGAAGAGGCAUGAUGCGUGUAAGUCUGACCUAUUGGUUUUUAUGGUUGUUUCAUAAAUUAUUCUUACUGUAUAUAGUUUUAAAAUGGCCUUUCUAAUCAGACAGAAAAGGGGAGAUGUCGAGGAAGGUCCGACUGUGUUUUCAAAUGCUGAUUUCAGCGCCUUGAGAUCUGGUCACAGCCCCGCAGUGCUGGGCAUUGCUGAACUAUCUCCCCUGUGAUGAUAAGGAAUGUACCUCAGUCAUCCCUGAUUGGCUAAAUAAAGAUGCUGGAGCCUAUGACUGGGUAGAAGAGAGGUAGGCGGAGUUUUAGGUGCCUGGCUGCUUGGGGUCGAGAGGGGUGGGGAAGGUGAGGAGAUAGCAGAAGAGGAAGCAGGAAGCUGGAGAGGAAGGAAUCUCCUUGAGGCAAGAUGGACCAGGAGCCCGUGGCUGCAAGGAGAGACUGAUGGGGCAGAAGGCGCCCGGGAAGCAUCAGAUUGGCAAGCCCUUGGCUUUUAUUGUGGGUUUUAGAGGUUCUGGGAUUACAAUAGUCAGAAUGUGCCCAGAAUGUGUUCCUUA